AUGAAUCCCUAGGGGCGCCGAGAGGCUGAGACAGUGUAGACUGAACCCUUUGAACCUGAUCUGGUUUAUGCCAGCGGAGGAAAGUGGAACGAGCUUUGG
rfam:Paenibacillus sp. Soil750 contig_1, whole genome shotgun sequence.